AGCAGGCGCGCAAAUUACCCAAUCCCGACACGGGGAGGUAGUGACAAUAAAUAACAAUACGGGGCUCAUUUGGGUCUCGUAAUUGGAAUGAGUACAAUUUAAAUCUCUUAACGAGGAACAAUUGGAGGGCAAGUCUGGUGCCAGCAGCCGCGGUAAUUCCAGCUCCAAUAGCGUAUAUUAAAGUUGUUGCAGUUAAAAAGCUCGUAGUUGAACUUCGGGGUCUACCCAUUGGUCAGGCUUAAUUGUCUGUACUGGUGAGAUAAAUCUCUACCUUCUGAGGAACUUUCAUGUCAUUAAUUUGGUGUGAUUGGAAAUCAGGACUGUUACUUUGAAAAAAUUAGAGUGUUUAAAGCAGGCUAACGUCUGAAUACAUUAGCAUGGAAUAAUGAAAUAGGACGGACUGAUUCUAUUUCGUUGGUUUCUAGGAUCACCGUAAUGAUUAAUAGGGAUAGUUGGGGGCAUUAGUAUUCAAUUGUCAGAGGUGAAAUUCUUGGAUUUAUUGAAGACUAACUACUGCGAAAGCAUUUGCCAAGGAUGUUUUCAUUAAUCAAGAACGAAAGUUAGGGGAUCGAAGACGAUCAGAUACCGUCGUAGUCUUAACCAUAAACUAUGCCGACUAGGGAUCGGACGAAGUUAAUUUUAUAAUGACGCGUUCGGCACCUUACGGGAAACCAAAGUGUUUGGGUUCA
rnacentral:rRNA from 1 species